rnacentral:rRNA from 1 species
UACGUAGGGUGCGAGCGUUAAUCGGAAUUACUGGGCGUAAAGCGUGCGCAGGCGGUUUUGGAAGCCAGAUGUGAAAUCCCCGGGCUCAACCUGGGAAUGGCAUUUGGGACUGCAAGGCUUGAGUGCGGCAGAGGAGACUGGAAUUCCUGGUGUAGCAGUGAAAUGCGUAGAUAUCGCUUGGAACGCCGAAGGUGAAAACAGGUCGCUGGGGACGCGCCGACGCUGAGACACGAAAGCCAGGGGAGCAAACGGG